GCAUCAUUCUUCAUAAUAAAAGAUACGCCAGAAUUGUGCAGUCGAGACGACAACUUCUGUGUCCUUUUCAAAUAUAUUACUACUGAUUAAGUCUGAGGCCGGUAACCAACAGUGAGGACAAACUCAGCCCGCCUCUCUCCUUACACACUGAGUCCAAACCUACAGUCACUGGGUCCUGAUUGUGACAGUGGAGCCCAGUUUGCACUGCAGGAUCCAGAAAUGGCAUCAGUGAAGCUGGAAGACUGCAGUCAAACACUGGAGCUGAAUGCCUUCAUUAAAGAUGAAGAAGAGGAGGAGAAGAUUGGGAAAUCUGUUUUUCAUGGUAUGAGGCCGGUAACAUCAACAGUGAGGACAAACCCAGCCUGCCUCUCUCCU